GACGAACGCUGGCGGCGGGCUUAACACAUGCAAGUCGAACGGAAAGGCCCUGCUUGCGUGGGGUGUUAGAGUGGCGAACGGGUGAGAAACAUGGGAGUCACCUGCGUUGUGCUGGGGGAUAACUUGAGGAAACCGGGGCUAAUACCUGAUAGGAGCGCCUGCUGGAGGGGGGGGGUUGGAAAGUUUCGGCGGUUGGGGAUGGAGGUGCGGGUUAUCAGCUUGUUGGUGGGGUAGUGGCUUACCAAGGCUUUGGCGGGUGGCGGGCCUGAGAGGGUGACCGGCGACAUUGCGCCUGAGAUACGGCGCAGACUCCGACGGGAGGCAGGAGUGGGGAAUAUUAGCCAAUGGGCGCGAGCCUGAUGCAGCGACGCCGCGUGUGGGAUGACGGCCUUCUGGUGGUAAACCGCAUUCGCCUGGGACGAAGCGUGAGUGACGGUAGUGGGUAAAGAAGCACCGGCUAACUACGUG
rnacentral:rRNA from 1 species